ACGUAGGGUCCGAGCGUUAAUCGGAAUUACUGGGCGUAAAGCGUGCGCAGGCGGUUUUGUAAGCCAGAUGUGAAAUCCCCGGGCUCAACCUGGGAACUGCAUUUGGGACUGCAAGGCUUGAGUACGGCAGAGGGGGGUAGAAUUCCUGGUGUAGCAGUGAAAUGCGUAGAUAUCAGGAGGAAUACCGAUGGCGAAGGCAGCCCCCUGGGUCGAUACUGACGCUCAUGCACGAAAGCGUGGGGAGCAAACAGG
rnacentral:rRNA from 1 species